AGAACCCAAUGAUGAGAAUUACAUUGGAUACAUGAGUGAUAGAUAAUAUAUUAUAUGAUACAUAAAAAAACAAAGCUUGAAGGACAACUUAUCUAAUGUAUCAGUAUAAACUAGGAAUAUAAAACAAUUAUCUCAGAAUUAUUAGAGAGCAACCACUUUAAGGAAGCUGUAGAGGCAGCAGGGCUUAACAAGCUCUUAAAAGUAGAAUACAAAUACUAUUAAAAUCCAAUCAUUUGUAUCAAAGUGUGCGUUGACAUCAUUGAACCAAAAAAACUAUUGCCAACCUUUUUCAUUUCCUGAAAU
rnacentral:misc_RNA from 1 species